UGCCUCCCCGCCCCACCCCUGGCUUUCUCCUGGUCAGCUGCAAGGGAAGGUGGGGGAGAGCGGAGCCCCUUCUCUUUCUCCUCCUCCCGAGAGGGCUCUCCAGAUUUCGGCCAGGUUGUAAGGGGGCAUUGGGCCCAGAUGUGCAGGGCUGGCCUACCUCCAGAUGCGCGUGGCUAAAGUGCAUCUUCUUAAAGAUGUCACCAGGCAGGAGCCCAGGCUCUGCUCUGGCCUGCUUGAGGUGAGACUGGACAAUGGUGUGGCGCUCACACGUUCUCAGAAAUAGAGCCUAUUAGCUUCCUCUAUUUUUAAAGCCCAGAAUCCUAAUAUGGCACAAUCUGGGGCUGAUGGAGACCUCGGUUGUGUUGUGCUCUGUGCUUGGCGAGAGAGCAUCCAGCAUUGCUAGGGGAGAGUCCAGUGAGAGCCCGGAUCUAGAGGACAGAUGUGGGGAAAGCAGAUGUGAGGGCUGUUUGGCCCCAGAGCCGAACUGAGGCUCCACUUCCUCUGUGGAUCCCCGAUGGGAGCGCGAGUCGGAUUUCCCGGGUGUGGGGGUUCUGGCAAGGAGACACGUCUGGGGCCAGGGGGCGGGCGGGCGGCCAGCUGCGCGCAUCUGGAUGUGCGUCCUAUACCUCGGCCCAGGCUCGGGCCCAAAACCCUACCCCCAGGUUUUUUUUGGUUUUGGCCUUUUUUUUUUUUUUUUUUUUGGAGAGUGUGGAAAGGUCUGGGCUUUCGCGCGGAGACUCCUGGUUGACUGGGAAGCCUUUGCCCUUUGGCUAAUAGAAGCCGAGCGGGCGGGAAGGAAGGAACAAAGCUUGCCGGGCGGAGGAAGCGCAGAGAGCUGCUCCAUUGUUCUCCGAGCUUGAAGAGUCUAUGCAAAAAACCCGGAGCGGGCCCCGGAACUGCGCUUGCUUUCCCCGGAGAGCCCUCUCCCUGAGAGGGAUAGAUCCGGGAUGUGCAGGACUCAGGGCUGCCGCGCCUCGGGGGCAGGCACGGGUCGUGCCGGGACCAUGGGAGGGCGGCGGCAAGGCCUGGAGCCCGAACGGGCCGCCUUGGCUCCGCGGACUUGUUGCGGUGGCUGGGAUGUGGGUCCUCCGGCGCCGAGGGACCCGAGCUUCCCGGGUACCAGGCAGGCUGCCCGCCCCGCUGGGGGCUGGGAAGGGGCGUGUCCGUGCGCGUGUGAAGGGGCGGGGCCGACGCGGGCUGCGGUCCCGGCUGGACGCGGUGGGGCGGGUGGGGGUGGAUGGAGGGUGGGGGUGUUCGACUGGCAGCUCUGGAGAAGACUGGUUGGAUCUGCUCUUGUCACCCCAGGAUCCCCAGACCCCGGAGUGGCCAGCAUGAGGAACCGCUGACCUGGGGCAAGAGGCCUUUGGAGCUUUGGAUUGGGGGCCUCUCAUAGCAGGCCGCGUGUGGGCUUUGCAGGGACAGUCAGGAGACAGGACAAGGGCAAAGAGGGGAAGAGCAGCCUUUUCUCUCGGAGAGCCCCUCCAGAAGGCCUCUGCAGGGACCAGUGGGGAUUGGGGGGUUGCGGGGGGACAGAAGCUGACAGGGCAGCCUCUCCCUGCAAAGGGAGUGUGCCACCCCUGUGCUGAGUGCCCUCCUCAAGGAGCUUAUAGUCUAAUGGGGUGAGACAGAUAAUGAAGAAAUAAAGUAAUUCCAGACACAGAGAGGGCUAUGGAGAAAAUGAAAGGGGACCCUGUGUUAGAGGAGAACUGGAAAGGAGAGGUCUUUAAGCUUAAGGAGGUGAUAAUUGAAUUGUGACUGAGGCCAGAGGAGGCACCAGGCAGGCAGACUGCGGGAGGAACAUUCCCCGGGCACUAAGAGCACUAAGAAGCGGGUGUGGAUGGGGUGUGGAUGGUUCUCAGGAGAGGAAUUGAGUAUCUGACUGUCUCCUGGGGAGAGGAAGGGAGUGUCAGGGACUCAGAAAAGUAGAGGGCACAGCUCUCCUUUCAAGGUCAGGGCUUCACCUGUUUGGAAUGACUUAGCCAAUCUGGGCUGUCCCCAGGCCUGCAAGACCCAGCACCGUCCCAGGACCUGGCUGCCUGGUUGAAGCUCUCUUAGUUGCUCUUCAAGAGGCAGUAACCUCAGAAACCCUGACAGAUAGUUCUAGAGCUGACUGGGGAUGGGGAUGGAGGGCAGGAGGGGGGCGGGAGCUGAGCUGGGGGCCCUUACUCCUGUUCAGCAGUUGUCAUUGCCAAAGCACACUGGUGCUGCAGCCUUUCAGCAACCUUGGAGAUAAGGAGAGAACACCUCCCUCCCCACCACUUCCCAGUUGGGGAAAUGCAGAGUAAAAAGCCUCUAGGGCCUUAGAGCCACCUCUAAGUUAGUGAUGGAAGGCAGGUUCUCCUUGUGUUCCUAAGCACUGGCUUCAUUUGGGAGGCCCGAUGAAGAAAGGGGAGUCAGCAGGUCAAGAGGGGCCUGACCAAAGCAAGUGUCUCUGGACAUAGGCCACCAACCUGCCCUGAUGACCCCAUAGAGGGGCUGAGAGGCUAAGAUCUCUGGUAGGCGGAGAGAGGUGGAAAGUCUGGCAAUCAUGCUGGACUGUUUAGGGCUUCGAGAACCAAGGUGGGGGUGGGGCAUGCAGGUAGGUCCUAGAGGGACAGUGCUUGGCCUCACAGGGUGGUGGGGAGGGGAGGGAGUGGGAGCUGCUGUCUUUAGGUAAAACUUCUCUUCUGUGUGAAGGUGGGAGUUGGGGUGGAGGAUAGACGGGCGUGUUUGGGGGCCAGGGGACAAGAGAGCUGGAUCAGUCUCUCCAAGCCUAUGAAGGUGUUCCAGGUUGUCAGGACUGACCUUCACUGGAGAGCAGGGUGGCUCCUGAGGAGAAGAACGGCUGUCUUGAUGCCUCAGGAUGUUGAGUAAAAACGGAGUAUUUGUUCCCUACCUGAGAGGCUGAGGGUCAAAGGUUACACACUCCUUAGCACCAUCCCAGACCCAAAAAGCGGCCAAGACCCAAUUUCUUGGGGAGGGUGGGGAGGGAAGGAGGAGUGAGGCAGCCCCAAAUAAGAGCCUUUCUGGAAUAAAAGAGAAGAGCUGAAAUUUGAUCAUUCUCUUCCCAGAAAUCAGCUGGAACCCAGAUGGUCUAGGCAGGCUCCCUACCCCUUCCUUUGCUUUGGAAGCUGCCAAAUAACUAGGGUCCCACUGGGGAACCCUGGAAACUUGGAAGGCUGAGGGGUGAGUGCCCAGGGGAAAAUGGGCCAAUCCCAGCAAUCAGAUGCCUUUGGACCCUGGCAUGAUAAUCUACAUCAAGCAGUUUGGCUCUGAGAGGAAAUGUCACCAGGCCUGGAACUGUCAGAGGCUGCAGGGUCAGAGGCUGCAAUCUUGAGUUCCCUGUCCAAAAGUUCUAAGCUCUGUGACCUCCCCUUGGAACUUGGUUUCCCCAUUUGUGAAUGAAAGAGACCCCACCCCCAUGACUCUUCCCUACUUACAGGGCUGGGGAGGGGGUCCAGAUUAAGGUGAUCAGACCUUGAAAAUGUCCCAGGCCAUUUCAAUACACAAUACCAUCCCAGACCCCACUCUUCCUGCCUUAUCAGCCCUGGACCUAAGGAUCUCAAAACAAAAUCAGUCUGUUGAGCCCCCACACAGUCAGGUUUCCUUUCUUCAACCCUCUAGGCAAAGGGACAAAAUCAGACAGCUAAGGCAGCCCAAGGUCAGGGUGUAAAGAAGCCGAGGCCUCUGGAGUUCCUAGCCCCACUUCCUCAUGGUGUCUGGACCCUUGUGAGGGUUGCCAUGACAACAGUUAGGCCCUCAGAGGCUGAGGGCAAACAGAAGAGGGGAAGGAAGUCCAAGAAGCCAUCCAUCUCUAAGCCAGUUGGCUGAUGUGGGUUUUGGAGGCGUGGUGAGGGUGGAGUUUAGUCUAGAGAAUGUGUUCUGGGACCUUUGAAUAGGGGGAGGGCAGAAAUUACUUCCUUUUUCUUCCGUGCACUCGGUGGGGGUCCGGGUGGGAAGAGGAGUUACAGUGAGUUCUCCAGAAAAGAACUGAUGCCCAGAGGAGACAGGUGAUAUGUGCAGGCUCACCUAGCACCCUCAGAUCGGAGGCUCCAUGCCCAGAGCCACUCCUGAAGCCUGCCGGGGAGUUCCCCAGAGGCCUAGCUGGAGCACGAGGACACAACUCACUAGCCUUCCUUGGGCACAGCAGUUUGCCAGAGAGUGCUUGUAAAGUCACAGGCCGAAGGAAGGACUGUGGCAAGGUGUGGCGGUCUGCAGGUGAGCAUGUAUGUGGAGAAGAAAUUGGCAUAGAACCUUCCAGCUGUGAGGCCUCCUGCCUUCCUCAAGCUUAGCACUAAGGGGAACAUUUCUUUACUCACUGCUCGGAACUUUUCCUUCCCAGUCUAGGCUUUAGUGCUUUUGAGGGGCCCCAGUCGGGUCCUGGUCCUAGCCAUUGGGCAUUGCCUUGUUCACGCUGCUGUGGCCAAGGCUCUGCUUCUGAGAGUAAAGGAUGGAUGGAUGAGUAGGUCUUGGGGGUAGUUCCUCUGCUCUGGGGAGACAGGCAGAUGGAGCACAAGUGCCUGAAGCGUAAACCAACCCAGAGAGAUGCCCUUCAUCGUCACUGGUGGCUCCAGCCCCAGGCCAUCGGCCCCUUCUAGACGUGGACUGAAUGGGUAACAGGGCCAAGUCACCUAGAAUCCUGGGGUGUUUCCUGAUGCUUCCCGUUUGUUCUGCCCCCCACGCCCCACACACCUCUGACCCCCCUCCUGUGUCCUGUCCCCAACCCUAGGCUGCCAGCCCCAGAUCCUUUCUCCUGCUAACUUCCAGGCUCCCCUUCUCUACAACCGUCCCUCCACACACACAUACCCAUGCCUCACAGCCUCUGACCCCAAGGACUGAAGGGGCAGGUUGCCUUCUGGGGUUCAAGGGAGAACCAGUCCUGCAUUGAGAAGGCUGAGCAGAGCCCCCAGGGCUCCUAACUGCAGCUCAGCCCCCUGCCACCGCUCCACCUCUGCAGACAGUGCCGUGUCUCCUCAUACAGCCAGGGAGAGAAAAAUCCCCUUCUCUGUGCAGAAUCCUCCUCCUCCCCCACCCUUCCCUGGGAUUUCACAGAACCACAGAAUGGAAAUUGUCUAGUUGAGCCACCCACCCAAAGCUGAAGCUAAUCCCUCUAUAGCAUCAUAGGCAGGUGGGUGUUCUGUUUACACACUCCUAGUGACAGAGGGCUCACUACCUUAUUUUCCUGGAAAGUGCUCAUUUUUGGAGAGCCUGUUGAGCUAAGCGUCUUCUUUCUGAGGAUUUCCACCCAUGGGUCCAAACCUACUGCCUAGAUCUUUCCAGGUUAAGCUAGCCUGCCUUUCAUAGCUCUCUUAUAUUUGAGGUCAGACACAUAGCCACAUUCCACCGCAUCUUUUCUCCCGUUGUCACCUCCUUUAAUUUUCCGUUCAUUUGUCUUUCCCUUUGGAAUAAGACUUGCUAGGAAGAGGAGCCGAUCCGUCACCCUGAUUCCUGGGCCCAGCAGAGUCCUGCUCCCCACCUGGACCCCACCCCCGCCUGCUCAUAAUAUCUGCAUCUGGGCACCUGGCUGUGUGUUCUCUGGGUCCAACCUGGCCUCCUCCCCACGGCCUUCUCCCGCUGCCUGGAAACCCUGUGCUAGCCAGCCAGCAGUGGGGAAACGGACGCCACAUGUUUCUCAUUUGUGCUGGCUGACCUCCUCCCACACCCUGUUUGGAUUACCCAGAUGCGUUUGAAGUCCCUGGAGCCUGCAGCCUUCCCUCUCGUGCACAGGAAGGGCCGGGGGCCAGGCACAGCUCACUGGCCCUCAGUGGGCAUGCUCUGUCCAUAGAAGCCCCUGGAACACUGGGUCAGCCCUCAAAGUGGACUUCAUCUCCGACACCUUCCCUCCCAGUUGCUUUUGGGGACUGACCCUCCUGGAGGGAGACAAAACCAGAGCCCCCUGGGUUCAGUUCUGCCUCGUCCAGUGCACACAGGUCUCUUUUCCUUCUGACCAGCAGGGAUCAAGGUGCAGACUGGGAAGGUGCCCCAGGAGCUGCUUCCGUCUCCCAACCGGAGGCUGAGGAAGGAUUAGUGUUGUGCCAAGGGUGUGUCCAGCAUGUUGGCGGCCGUGGGCUACGUGCGGGCACAACACGCGUGCCUGGAAUAAGUGGGAUGGGUCCGGGCUUUUCGUCUUUCCUCAGCACCUAUGCCUCUGGCAGGAGAAGGAGCAAACUGCAAGGGUGGGAAGCUACGCGGAGGAGGAUGGAGACCUAGCGGGAGCGGAGCCCCCAGACUCCUCAGGCCUGUUGUAGUGCUGCAGUGGGGGUGGGAGAGCACGGAGCACAGCCCAUCCACGGGCUACAGGUUCACCCCUGAGAGCUUUGGCUCCAGCAGGUUCCAGCUCUUGCUGCCAGUGCUGUCGUACAUCAUGCAUUUGACACACAGUUCUCCAAGUCCGCUCCAGCCAAACCUCAGCAAGGCGGCCAGGGCUCUGCAGGGGCUGGGCCUUGGCCUGGGCCAUGGGCAAGUCUAUUUUGGACUUCUCAAUGACACAUUUCAGGGCCACUGGAGCGGGCGGGUUCCCCGCAGCCCUCUAAUUCCUGGGCCGCGGCUCUUGCUGUGGACUUGUCAGGGCGCUCACUCUUUUGCGCUGGGGAUGUAGAAACGGAGAGCAAGCCCGGCCCGGCAGACCCGCGGUGUGCUGUCCCAUGCUCCCAGUGUUGGUCCCCAGGGUCGUCUUGCAGGCUAUCUGGUCAGGGUGUUGCCAUUAGGUGUGAUCUGGUCUGGGAGGUGGAAUGGUGUCAUAAGCCGCAGGUGUUAACGUGGAGAGCCAGAUUGGAAACGAGGACCUUGGGCUGGGUAGGAGGGUAGCACAUGUUGAGGAGCGAGACUUAGGUGUGUGUGCAGAGGUCCUGGGUUCAGAGGGGGUGUGGCAUAUGGCCGGUAACCCUAAGAUGAGCUUGGGAGUCAGGGUGUGAACACGGGGUGUGCAGGGGAUUGCAUAUGUCAUGUGGAGCACUGACUCUCCUCCAGCAGAUAUGCACGUGCUCAAGGUACAUUUGUGUGCACGUGUUCUGUGCAUGCAAGGACUGGGCAGGUUUGAAAGAGUCUGAAAUAUGACCAGGGUGGAACGAUUUCCCUCAAAUAGACCCCCAGGCGGAGGCCGCAGGGGUUCGGUCUCCCUGGCUUCUCUCCCAGAAAAGCAGUAUGAGUGCUGGUGAGUCCUCGGACUCUCAGGACACAGGCUCCCUUUUGCCCUUGGUGACUAGCUAAACAGGCCGUUCCCUUUGGGGGAAGCUGGCAGCCACCCAGGAGGCCUUGGCUUUUCUCUGCAGGCUUCAUAAGCUGCCACGGGGCCUAGGACUCCCACCAUCCCACUCUGAGGAGCUGCCUCCUGGGAACUCUGACACCUGACUCUCCUAGGGGGGCGCGGAAAGUAGGCCCGGAGAAUACAAUAAUCUAAUGAUAAUAACAAACACGUAUCAAUCACUUGGUGUAGAAGAGGCAUUGUUCUUGUUCCUUAUGUGUAACAAGUCAUUUAAUGUUCACGGUAAUCCUGCGAUCUGUAGGUAAUCUGCCCAAAGCUAGUAGAGCAAGUGAGCAGCAGAGCCAGGAUUUGAACUUACCCCCUAUGCCAUGCUGCUUCCAGGAGCCUCAAGACUCCUCCCACGCCCUGGAAGUUGAGUUUCUUUGCACUGAGUUCAGAAUCAAUGUGUCAAGCAGUCUCUGUGGGCAAAGCACUGUGCCCCUGACAUUGAGGCUUUGGGCCCUGCUUGCUAGCUUCUGACAGGCUAGAGUGGAGGUGAGAAGGAUCGCGCUCCUUCCUGUACCAGGCGAUGGUAGCAGGUGCUGCGACAAAGUUGGGCAAGGCCAAGGAGCAGGAGUCGGUACGUGGGGCAAGUGUGCCCAUGCGUGCAGUGGGUGAGGAGGGGAAGCUCUGGAGAAGUGAUGUGGUUUUGAAAGAAGGUUGAAAUCCCAGCCACAGAAGUGGAAGGGACUGGAAAAGGAAGGGGGGAAGUAAGUGAUGGGCUUCAUCAUGGGGCCCUGCCUGCUGGAAGAGAGGUGGAACAGGAAGCGACAGAGAGAAUGAGACUGGACAGACAGGUCCGGAGGGGACAUGAUGGAACCGAGUGGAGCGCACUGGGGCUUGACCGUAGGCUCUGGGCAACAUUUAAACAGAGGAGAGCAGUCAAGGUUUGCCCCAAAGGAUCCCCAACAGAAUCCUGUGCUCACUGGUCCUUUGGAGAGGUUACUGUCUGAUGAGAUCAGUCAGCCCAGGGCCUCUCAAGCUCUGCAUCUGUUUGCUUGAGUGAGGAUUGCCCUUGCUGCCCCUGCAGAGUCCAGAGGCACGGAGAGAGAGGACGUCUUGGUGACCAGAGAUUGUCCCUUUGAUUAGCAGCAGCUCUGAUUAGGCCUGAGGUACGGCUCGCUCUCUGCCUUGCCCGGGGAUCGGCACUGCCCCACCCCAGGCCUGGGGAGUGCCCACGGCCAGUACGAACCAGACGGUGCACGACGGAACCAACACACAAACCGAUCAGACAGUAGACAGAGGAGAAUUUCGUUCGCAUACAAUUCAGAGACCAGGCAUAAAGAGGGUGUGGGCCACAUCUCAGCUCCUAGCUCACUUGUCCCGUCCAGGAUGCCUUCUGAGGGAGUUGGAAGUUGGGGAGCUAUUUAAAGGAAUCAGAAACACUUGGCACCGGGGGAGAUGCAUUCCCGUCAUCCAGCUUUCCUUGGAUGGAGUAGGAGGACUGGAUUGGGACUAGCUGGCUAGGCGCCCUCGGAACAGAUGGUCCUUUGGGGACUGAAGGGAACAGCCCUCCACCCUGGGGUAGAAGGACCCACAGGGAAUGAGGGUGCCCUGGUGAAGGAUUAGGGACUUCUCCUCCACUCAAAUCUUUAUCUUCCUCUCUUCUCCGCGAUGCCACCGGACUGUCCCAGUGGCCGUGCCCCGGAUGUUGCCACGGGGUUCUGUUGUUACAGGAGCUAGGGUGUUUUGUCAUAGAGGACUUGGCUUUUUCCUGGCAUCUCUGGGUAUCCCCGGGAGGUGUGGUCCUGGAAUUCAGGGGUUGCCUUAGCAACAGUAGAUACUAUCCUACAUGGAUCCUCCCUGGCCUGGAUGGUGAUGUGGUGGCCAGGGGUUGCCGCGGUGCUCAGUGCACGGCUUCCCUGUCAUGCUGCUCCUUUGCUGCAGCUCCAGAGACGGGGGUCAUGGCAGCAGAGAAGGCAGGAGUGCCCACCUGGGGCAGCGAGACCGGCAGGUGCUACAACUGCUGCUCCCACUGUCGACAAGGACAGCAGCAACCAUGAGGGGCGGCCUUCCUCAGUGCAGGGACAAGACUCCGUCCCUGUGCUGCCUGACACCCGCCCAGCCGGUGGGGUUUGCUCACAGCAGGCAGUGCCGAGCGGCUGCCCCUGUUCUUUCUGCCACUGGGAAGGCACUCCUGGGCUCCCAGGAGCUCAGGGCAAGGCCUCCUUGCUUGGCGUCUCCACUCAGCUUGUAGUUUUGGGGCUGCUGAGGGCCUGGCUGCAGGGUUUGGGCUCCCCAGAAGGAAGCACUCAGUGCCCGAGACUUUAAUUGAGGCCUCUGACUCUGCAGUCCAGAAGGGCCGGCCGUCAUGAAACGUCAUAGAGGACAGGGAUGCAUCAAGAUUCUGCCGUCUGCCCUUGGCCUGGAGCCCUGUGUAUCUCUGGGACCUUGACUGCAUGGGGUAAUAGAAAGUUGUCGUGCAUGUGAGGAUUCAAAUAAACUCUGUUUCCUACCA